rnacentral:rRNA from 1 species
GAUAGGUUAAGAGCUAAUUAACUGGACGUUACCCACAGAAGAAGCACCGGCUAACUCCGUGCCAGCAGCCGCGGUAAUACGGAGGGUGCGAGCGUUAAUCGGAAUUACUGGGCGUAAAGAGUGCGUAGGUGGUUAAUUAAGUUAUCUGUGAAAUCCCCUGGGCUCAACCUGGGCAGGUCAGAUAAUACUGGUUAACUCGAGUAUGGGAGAGGGUAGUGGAAUUUCCGGUGUAGCGGUGAAAUGCGUAGAGAUCGGAAGGAACACCAGUGGCGAAGGCGGCUACCUGGCCUAAUACUGACACUGAGGCACGAAAGCGUGGGGAGCAAACAGGAUUAGAUACCCUGGUAGUCCACGCUGUAAACGAUGUCAACUAGCUGUUGGUUAUAUGAAUAUAAUUAGUGGCGCAGCAAACGCGAUAAGUUUGACAUGU